CAGGGUGCCUAGUUAAAUUUGAAUUUGAAAUAGACAAUGAAUAUUCUUGGUAUAAAUAUGCCCUAUGAAAUACUUGGGACAUAUUUAUACUAAAAAAUUAUUUGUUGUUUACCUGAAAUUCAGAAUUAACUGGGUGUCCUGUA
rnacentral:miRNA from 1 species